rnacentral:lncRNA from 1 species
AGGAGACCACCUAGGACACCAAUGGAAGUACAUCAAAUGCAAGGGGGUCAAGGGCUGUGAGCAAAUCAACGGCCACCAAAAAGGGAAAGAAGCGGUAGAUGACCCGAUGAAAUUUACGAAGAGAAGCACAUGGAAAUUGUAGAAGCUAUCAAGAGACUGGGGAUGACUUAGGAUGAAGAGGCGUUGAAUAAUGUUUUCGAUGUUGUCAAGAAGAUGGGAUCCAUAGACUCUCAG